AUCUUUCCCCCUAAUUCUGGAGUCAACACAUUCAUUAGCUAUUAAAGCUGCAUCCAUGAUUUGCCUGCCUUUGAUGAAGGCCAUCUGCUGAGAGUCCACAAGUUUAUAAUAGACCACCUUCUGAAAGAAACCUUCUUCAGUCUUUCAGCGAGCACCUUAGAAAUGAUCUUGUACACACUGCCAAUCAGACUAAUAGGUCUAAAAUCCUUCAACUCUGCUGCACCAACCUUCUUAGGAAUCAAA
rnacentral:lncRNA from 1 species